rnacentral:rRNA from 1 species
UGGGGAAUCUUGCGCAAUGGGCGAAAGCCUGACGCAGCAACGCCGCGUGAGGGAAGACGGCCUUCGGGUUGUAAACCUCUUUCAGUAGGGACGAGGCUUCCAUGGUUAAUAGCCAUGUGGAGUGACGGUACCUACAGAAGAAGCCCCGGCUAACUACGUGCCAGCAGCCGCGGUAAUACGUAGGGGGCAAGCGUUGUCCGGAAUCAUUGGGCGUAAAGCGCGUGUAGGCGGCCUGGAAAGUCUGGUGUGAAAACUUGAGGCUCAACCUCAAGCUGUCAUCGGAAACUAUUAGGCUUGAGUCCGGAAGAGGAGAGUGGAAUUCCUGGUGUAGCGGUGGAAUGCGCAGAUAUCAGGAGGAACACCUAUGGCGAAGGCAGCUCUCUGGUACGUGACUGACGCUGAGACGCGAAAGCGUGGGUAGCAAACAGGAUUAGAUACCCCCGUAGUCC